rnacentral:rRNA from 1 species
GAUGAACGCUGGCGGCGUGCCUAAUACAUGCAAGUCGAGCGAACGGACGAGAAGCUUGCUUCUCUGAUGUUAGCGGCGGACGGGUGAGUAACACGUGGAUAACCUACCUAUAAGACUGGGAUAACUUCGGGAAACCGGAGCUAAUACCGGAUAAUAUUUUGAACCGCAUGGUUCAAAAGUGAAAGACGGUCUUGCUGUCACUUCUAGAUGGAUCCGCGCUGCAUUAGCUAGUUGGUAAGGUAACGGCUUACCAAGGCAACGAUGCAUAGCCGACCUGAGAGGGUGAUCGGCCACACUGGAAUUGAGACACGGUCCAGACUCCUACGGGAGGCAGCAGUAGGGAAUCUUCCGCAAUGGGCGAAAGCCUGACGGAGCAACGCCGCGUGAGUGAUGAAGGUCUUCGGAUCGUAAAACUCUGUUAUUAGGGAAGAACAUAUGUGUAAGUAACUGUGCACAUCUUGACGGUACCUAAUCAGAAAGCCACGGCUAACUACGUG